rnacentral:rRNA from 1 species
CCUACGGGUGGCAGCAGUGGGGAAUAUUGCACAAUGGGGGAAACCCUGAUGCAGCGACGCCGCGUGAGUGAAGAAGUAUUUCGGUAUGUAAAGCUCUAUCAGCAGGGAAGAAGAAAGACGGUACCUGACUAAGAAGCCCCGGCUAACUACGUGCCAGCAGCCGCGGUAAUACGUAGGGGGCAAGCGUUAGCCGGAUUUACGGGGGGUAAAGGGAGCGUAGAAGGCUGGGCAAGUCUGAAGUGAAAGCCCAGGGCUCAACCCGGGGACUGCUUUGGAAACUGUGGAGCUAGAGUGCUGGAGAGGUACGUGGCAUUCCUCUUGUCGCGGUGACAUGCGUAGAUAUUAGGAGGAACCCCAGUGGCGAAGGCGGCUUCCUGGACAGUAACUGCCGUUGAGGCUCGACCGCGUGGGGAGCACACAGGAUUAGCUACCCGGGUAGUC